GGGGGGGCAAGAAGAAAGGAGGGGGAGUGACCAGAGAUGCCCAAGAUUUCCAAGCAAUUCUUUCCAUGGGCUGCUUUCAUCAGAGAGUGAGAAGGCCUUCCACGGGCUGGAAGGGAAGCACUUCAGAUUGUGGGGGAAGACAGGUGCCUUUUCACAUUUCCCUCCCCCAUCGUCAAUGGAGUCAGCUGCAAUAAAUGGGAGAAACAGCCCCUUUUAAAAAUGGCAUUAAAACACUGUCUGGACUAAACCCAAACUAGUUUUGUAU